AUUGAACGCUGGCGGCAUGCUUUACACAUGCAAGUCGGACGGCAGCACAGAGAAGCUUGCUUCUUGGGUGGCGAGUGGCGAACGGGUGAGUAAUAUAUCGGAACGUACCGAGUAAUGGGGGAUAACUAAUCGAAAGAUUAGCUAAUACCGCAUAUUCUCUGAGGAGGAAAGCAGGGGACCUUCGGGCCUUGCGUUAUUCGAGCGGCCGAUAUCUGAUUAGCUAGUUGGUGGGGUAAAGGCCUACCAAGGCGACGAUCAGUAGCGGGUCUGAGAGGAUGAUCCGCCACACUGGGACUGAGACACGGCCCAGACUCCUACGGGAGGCAGCAGUGGGGAAUUUUGGACUAUGGGCGCAAGCCUGAUCCAGCCAUGCCGCGUGUCUGAAGAAGGCCUUCGGGUUGUAAAGGACUUUUGUCAGGGAAGAAAAGGCUGUUGCUAAUAUCGACAGCUGAUGACGGUACCUGAAGAAUAAGCACCGGCUAACUACGUG
rnacentral:rRNA from 1 species